AACAACAAAGAAACAGAGGAGGAAGAAGGAGAAUGA
rnacentral:sRNA from 1 species